CUUUGACCGUGCUAAGGUAGCACAAUCAAAANGGCCCUUAAUUAGGGUCAGGUAUGAAUGGAGUUACGGGGCUUAGCUGUCUCUAGACUAUUUAAUUGAAGUUGCUAUAUAGGUGAAAAAGCCUGUAUUAAGAAAAAAGACGAGAAGACCCUUAGAGUUUUACUUAAAAGAGUUAUUUCUUCACUAGUUUUGUUGGGGCAACAUAGGAGAAGAACUAAACCUCCUAAAGGAUAUAAACCGAUGUUUUUAAAUGUGAAUAAACUACCUUAGGGAUAACAGCAUAAUUUUAAAAAUAAGUUUGUGACCUCGAUGUUGGACUAGGAAACUUAAGGGCUAGCCGCCUUUUGGUAAGGUUCUGUUCGAACUAUAAUUCCU
rnacentral:rRNA from 1 species